AGAUAAUUGGCUAGGGGUUGCCUUGGUUACCCCAUACAUGGGCUUUUUCCGCCUGGUUUGGCCUCGUUAGAAGCGGGAGUCCUGCUUCCUCCAUUUUGAAUCCUCUGUGUUAGUUUUGGUUUUAAAUUUAGCAAGUUAUGGCUCACAGAAGUGGAAAAAAAUAUUUUUCGCUCAGGACUUGGAGCUGAACACUUGCAGUUUUCGGACCAUUGUGGAUAUAGCGUGUGUUUUGGAUUAACGCUUUAUCGGAUUACAUUUGCUGGAUCGUAAUGGACAGAAUGAAACCACACACGACGUGAAUGAGCGACGUUUGGAGCUCAGAAGUCCUCAAAACAUUCUCAUUAGAGCGUCUGACCUUCAAGCGAGCUCCCUCCGUAUCGAUCGUCCCGACCGCGGUCGGCGCUGGCCUUUUGGCGGAGAUUGCUCGCCACCGCCGACGCUGCCACAGCGAACACAACAGGCUCGCAGAGAUGAACCAUAAUUGUCUAAAGAGCACGUCCUGAGCGAUAAUCUGUCUGCAGGUGGCGAUCAGUCGGAGCGAGGAGACAGGGUGUGGUGGACAGCAGCAUGCUGAAGACGCAUUACCAACGACAUUGAACGGCCAAUAAGCAGAGGCACAAUCAAUGUUUAAAAUGUCCCGUUGUUUAAAUGAAUGCAGAUGAUGUAAUAAUGGAUGGUACGUUUCUGUGGUGGCACUAAAAGACAGAGGCAGUCCUGAAAGAGGUUUGUCUGUCUGGUCUAUCUCGUGAUUUACAGUACUUUGUUGUUUUGAGGAGACAGACAUUUAAACCUCUGAGCUUUGUUCACUGUGUGAUGUAAUGCGGAUCUUCUUAGGCCAGGAAGGAAGCUUAGGUUAUGAUGGGCUUAUUACGACUGUUUAUGAAUCAUUUAAAGUUUGAAUUGUCUCUGCAUUAUGGUAUAUCAGACUACGCAACAACAUACUGCACAAUUGGCUGUCGUGACAUGUAACAGCUCUUUCGGUCAAUGAUUGGCUGGUGGUGAAGUUAAGUUGCAAACUCUUAAAUCAUGGCCAGUUGCUCUGCUUAGGGCGUCUCGCCAGAUGUUUAUGUCACUGCAUGAACUGCGUAUCUAAAAGAUGGAAAAAAUAAAAUAAUAAAUGGAUGAAUCA
rnacentral:lncRNA from 1 species